UGUACACGUGUGUACACACUGUCCAUGUGUGUGUGUACACACACAAUAAUGUCCACAUUGUUGAGCUGAGCUCACACACCCAAGGGGUCUCUGUUCAAGGGAGGGAGCAAUGGAAAAUUAAUCUUAAUCAACUUAAACUCUAAUCCCGCUACGUGACGUCACCACUCAGCAUGACCUCAUCGGCGUGAAACGCCAGGGGGAGGUGUACCUUGCUAGUGACGUCAUGUCACCAAAGUAUUCACCCCAACCCGUCUCAAGGGAGCGUGACGUCACCUCUGCCUGGGUCACUUCCGUUAUCUGUUCAAGCACUAUCCUUAUUUGGGCAAAGCCACGCCCACUGACUGGCGGCUCAUUAACAUAAAUUAUUCGUGAAAGACGUCACGAGUUCGUUGUGACCGGUUCGGCACCCACGGCCCAUCCCUCCACGAGUGGGCCAGGCUCAUUAACAUAAUUUAUGUAAGUUACAGAGCCGCUCAUUGUGGGAGGGGAGUGUCUUGUACCCCACAAGUGACGUCAUGUCACCUGCUGCUGCCGCGUGACGUCACGAGGUAACGGAAAGUUGCGGCUCCGCGCGGGAACUGAAGUCUGAGGCCACGCCCGCUUGAGCUGCUGUACCGCUCUUGUUUUCAGAAGCGACCUGCUCACAACAACAACAACAACAAGCUGUCGCUUCCUCUGCAGAAAUUGGUCUGAUGGAGCAAAGGCACUCGGCGCGGCUCGGUGCAAAAAGGCAAC